rnacentral:rRNA from 1 species
CAUGCAAGUCGAACGGUAAAGCAGGGGGUUCGCUCCCUGCAUCGAGUGGCGGACGGGUGAGUAAUACGUAGGAAUCUACCUUAUAGAGGGGGAUAACCCGAGGAAACUCGGGCUAAUACCGCAUAAUCUCCGGUGGAGAAAAGCGGGGGAUCUUUUGGCCUCGCGCUAUGAGAUGAGCCUAUGUCGGAUUAGCUUGUUGGUAAGGUAAUGGCUUACCAAGGCAAUGAUCCGUAGCUGGUCUGAGAGGACGAUCAGCCACACUGGGACUGAGACACGGCCCAGACUCCUACGGGAGGCAGCAGUGGGGAAUCUUGGACAAUGGGGGAAACCCUGA